ensembl:snRNA U6 U6 spliceosomal RNA
GUGCUUGCUCAGGCAGCACAUAUAAUAAAUUGGAAUCGAUACAGAGAAGAUUAGCAUGGCCCCUGCGAAAGGAUGACACGCAAAUUCGUGAAGCGGCUCUCUCCUCAUUUUU